CUAACAUUGCCACACACAUACACUGCCCACACACCCUACACAUUCACACACCACACCCCCACACACACACUGAACCUUUCACACACAUUGCACCACUGCUCCUAUUCCCUACUACAGCCUCAUAUCCCAGCAGACCCCAGGUAAGUUGUCAAACCGUUCUUAAACGGUUUGACUACUUACUCUGGAGCAGUAGUGGUUAUUGUGCAUGGAUUAUUUCUUUAAAUAAUCUACAAGUGCCCCAGUAGCCAGCCAGCCAACCCACAGGCUGGCCAGUAG
rnacentral:lncRNA from 1 species